rnacentral:rRNA from 1 species
UACGUAGGGGGCAAGCGUUAUCCGGAUUUACUGGGUGUAAAGGGAGCGUAGACGGUGAGGCAAGUCCGAUGUGAAAACCCGGGGCUCAACCCCGGGAUUGCAUUGGAAACUGUUUGACUCGAGUACUGGAGGGGUAAGCGGAAUUCCUAGUGUAGCGGUGAAAUGCGUAGAUAUUAGGAGGAACACCGGUGGCGAAGGCGGCUUACUGGACAGUAACUGACGUUGAGGCUCGAAAGCGUGGGGAGCAAAC